AGAAUUUGAUCUUGGUUCAGGAUGAACGCUGGCGGCGUGCUUAACACAUGCAAGUCGAACGGAGUUUUUAAACGGAAGUUUUCGGAUGGAAGUUUAAGAACUUAGUGGCGGACGGGUGAGUAACGCGUGGGUAACCUGCCUCAUACAGGGGGAUAACAGUUAGAAAUGACUGCUAACACCGCAUAAUAUAGUGAAACCGCAUGAUUUUUGCUAUCAAAUAUUUAUAGGUAUGAGAUGGGCCCGCGUCUGAUUAGCUAGUUGGUGGGGUAAAAGCCUACCAAGGCGACGAUCAGUAGCCGGCUUGAGAGAGUGACCGGCCACAUUGGGACUGAGACACGGCCCAAACUCCUACGGGAGGCAGCAGUGGGGAAUAUUGGACAAUGGGGGAAACCCUGAUCCAGCCGACGCCGCGUGAGUGAAGAAGUAUUUCGGUAUGUAAAGCUCUAUCAGCAGGGAAGAUAAUGACAGUACCUGACUAAGAAGCCCCGGCUAACUACGUGCCAGCCGCCGC
rnacentral:rRNA from 1 species